rnacentral:rRNA from 1 species
AUCAUUAUCGAGCGAGGGCGCCAGCCCGACCUCCCAACCCCCUGCCUCCCCACCACGUUGCCUCGGGGGCGACCCGGCCGCCGCGCCGGCGCCCCCCGCGGCCCCCUCAACUCUGCAUCUUUGCGUCUGAGUGAUGUGACCAAUCAAUCAAAACUUUCAACAACGGAUCUCUUGGUUCUGGCAUCGAUGAAGAACGCAGCGAAAUGCGAUAAGUAAUGUGAAUUGCAGAAUUCAGUGAAUCAUCGAAUCUUUGAACGCACAUUGCGCCCCCUGGUAUUCCGGGGGGCAUGCCUGUUCGAGCGUCAUCACACCACUCCAGCCUCGCUGGGUCUUGGGCGCCGCGGCCCCCGCGCGCCCCAAUGUCUCCGGCCGAGCCGACCGUCUCUCAGCGUUGUGGCACCACUGUCUCGCUGAUGGGACUGGUCCGGCGGCGUGCCGUUAAACCUCCCCACCAAAGGUUGACCUCGGAUCAGG